AUGGACAUUUGGGUAGGGUUGCCAGAUUCAAUGCAGAAUGCCCAGUUUAAUUUGUCCCAAAUAAUUUAGGAUAUACUUAUGCUAAAAAAAAAUUAUCCAUUGUUUAUCUGAAAUUUAAAUGGAGC
rnacentral:miRNA from 14 species